rnacentral:rRNA from 2 species
CAAGCGUUGUCCGGAUUUAUUGGGCGUAAAGCGAGUGCAGGCGGUUCAAUAAGUCUGAUGUGAAAGCCUUCGGCUCAACCGGAGAAUUGCAUCAGAAACUGUUGAACUUGAGUGCAGAAGAGGAGAGUGGAACUCCAUGUGUAGCGGUGGAAUGCGUAGAUAUAUGGAAGAACACCAGUGGCGAAGGCGGCUGUCUGGUCUGCAACUGACGCUGAGGCUCGAAAGCAUGGGUAGCGAACAGGAUUAGAUACCCUGGUAGUCCAUGCCGUAAACGAUGAGUGCUAAGUGUUGGGAGGUUUCCGCCUCUCAGUGCUGCAGCUAACGCAUUAAGCACUCCGCCUGGGGAGUACGACCGCAAGGUUGAAACUCAAAGGAAUUGACGGGGGCCCGCAC